rnacentral:rRNA from 1 species
GGUAACGGCUUACCAAGGCGACGAUCAGUAGCCGGACUGAGAGGUUGAUCGGCCACAUUGGGACUGAGACACGGCCCAGACUCCUACGGGAGGCAGCAGUGGGGAAUAUUGCACAAUGGAGGAAACUCUGAUGCAGCGAUGCCGCGUGAGGGAAGAAGGUUUUAGGAUUGUAAACCUCUGUCUUCAGGGACGAAAAAAGACGGUACCUGAGGAGGAAGCUCCGGCUAACUACGUGCCAGCAGCCGCGGUAAUACGUAGGGAGCGAGCGUUGUCCGGAAUUACUGGGUGUAAAGGGAGCGUAGGCGGGAUCGCAAGUCAGAUGUGAAAACUAUGGGCUUAACCCAUAAACUGCAUUUGAAACUGUGGUUCUUGAGUGAAGUAGAGGUAAGCGGAAUUCCUAGUGUAGCGGUGAAAUGCGUAGAUAUUAGGAGGAGCAUCAGUGGCGAAGGCGGCUUACUGGGCUUUAACUGACGCUGAGGCUCGAAAGCGUGGGGAGCAAACAGGAUUAGAUACCUUGGUAGUCCACGCCGUAAACGAUGAUUACUAGGUGUGGGGGGACUGACCCCUUCCGUGCCGCAGCAAACGCAAUAAGUAAUCCACCUGGGGAGUACGACCGCAAGGUUGAAACUCAAAGGAAUUGACGGGGGCCCGCACAAGCAGUGGAGUAUGUGGAUUAAUUCGAAGCAACGCGAAGAACCUUACCAGGUCUUGACAUCGUAUGCAUAGCUCAGAGAUGAGUGAAAUCUCUUCGGAGACAUAUAGACAGGUGGUGCAUGGUUGUCGUCAGCUCGUGUCGUGAGAUGUUGGGUUAAGUCCCGCAACGAGCGCAACCCUUACUGUUAGUUGCUACGCAAGAGCACUCUAGCAGGACUGCCGUUGACAAAACGGAGGAAGGUGGGGAUGACGUCAAAUCAUCAUGCCCCUUAUGACCUGGGCCUCACACGUACUACAAUGGCUGUCAACAGAGGGAAGCAAAGCCGCGAGGUGGAGCGAACCCCUAAAAGCAGUCUUAGUUCGGAUUGUAGGCUGCAACCCGCCUACAUGAAGUCGGAAUUGCUAGUAAUCGCAGAUCAGCAUGCUGCGGUGAAUACGUUCCCGGGCCUUGUACACACCGCCCGUCACGCCAUGGGAGUCGGUAACACCCGAAGCCUGUAGUCUAACCGCAAGGAGGACGCAGUCGAAGGUGGGAUUGAUGACUGGGGUGAAGUCGGAACAAGGUAGCCGUAUCGGAAGGUGCGGCUG